rnacentral:rRNA from 2 species
UACGAAGGGGGCGAGCGUUGUUCGGAAUUACUGGGCGUAAAGGGCGCGUAGGCGGCCGAUCAAGUUAGAUGUGAAAGUCCUGGGCUUAACCUGGGGACUGCAUUUGAUACUGAUUGGCUUGAAUUCGGGAGAGGAUAGCGGAAUUCCCAGUGUAGAGGUGAAAUUCGUAGAUAUUGGGAAGAACACCGGUGGCGAAGGCGGCUAUCUGGACCGACAUUGACGCUGAGGCGCGAAAGCGUGGGGAGCAAACAGG